rnacentral:rRNA from 1 species
GACGAACGCUGGCGGCGUGCUUAACACAUGCAAGUCGAACGGAAAGGCCCUGCUUUUGUGGGGUGCUCGAGUGGCGAACGGGUGAGUAACACGUGAGUAACCUGCCCUUGACUUUGGGAUAACUUCAGGAAACUGGGGCUAAUACCGGAUAGGAGCUCCUGCUGCAUGGUGGGGGUUGGAAAGUUUCGGCGGUUGGGGAUGGACUCGCGGCUUAUCAGCUUGUUGGUGGGGUAGUGGCUUACCAAGGCUUUGACGGGUAGCCGGCCUGAGAGGGUGACCGGCCACAUUGGGACUGAGAUACGGCCCAGACUCCUACGGGAGGCAGCAGUGGGGAAUAUUGCACAAUGGGCGGAAGCCUGAUGCAGCAACGCCGCGUGCGGGAUGACGGCCUUCGGGUUGUAAACCGCUUUCGCCUGUGACGAAGCGUGAGUGACGGUAAUGGGUAAAGAAGCACCGGCUAACUACGUGCCAGCAGCCGCGGUGAUACGUAGGGAGCGAGCGUUGUCCGGAUUUAUUGGGCGUAAAGGGCUCGUAGGUGGUUGAUCGCGUCGGAAGUGUAAUCUUGGGGCUUAACCCUGAGCGUGCUUUCGAUACGGGUUGACUUGAGGAAGGUAGGGGAGAAUGGAAUUCCUGGUGGAGCGGUGGAAUGCGCAGAUAUCAGGAGGAACACCAGUGGCGAAGGCGGUUCUCUGGGCCUUUCCUGACGCUGAGGAGCGAAAGCGUGGGGAGCGAACAGGCUUAGAUACCCUGGUAGUCCACGCUGUAAACGGUGGGUACUAGGUGUGGGGUCCAUUCCACGGGUUCCGUGCCGUAGCUAACGCUUUAAGUACCCCGCCUGGGGAGUACGGCCGCAAGGCUAAAACUCAAAGGAAUUGACGGGGCCCCGCACAAGCGGCGGAGCAUGCGGAUUAAUUCGAUGCAACGCGUAGAACCUUACCUGGGUUUGACAUGGAUCGGGAGCGCUCAGAGAUGGGUGUGCCUCUUUUGGGGUCGGUUCACAGGUGGUGCAUGGCUGUCGUCAGCUCGUGUCGUGAGAUGUUGGGUUGAGUCCCGCAACGAGCGCAACCCUUGUUCACUGUUGCCAGCACGUUAUGGUGGGGACUCAGUGGAGACCGCCGGGGUCAACUCGGAGGAAGGUGGGGAUGACGUCAAGUCAUCAUGCCCCUUAUGUCCAGGGCUUCACGCAUGCUACAAUGGCUGGUACAGAGAGUGGCGAGCCUGUGAGGGUGAGCGAAUCUCGGAAAGCCGGUCUCAGUUCGGAUUGGGGUCUGCAACUCGACCUCAUGAAGUCGGAGUCGCUAGUAAUCGCAGAUCAGCAACGCUGCGGUGAAUACGUUCCCGGG